UUACAGACGUAGAUAGCUGAACCCUUUGUGCACGCUUGCAACUCUUGCAAAUUCAUUUGGAAAUAAUAUUGUUUAAAGGCGUCAAUGAUUAGGGAAGUUCCACAUUGGAGAGGAUAUUGGGUUACGGUUUUGCAAAUUGACAAUAAUUGUUGAUUAUAAAAUUGGAUAGAAUUGAAUUCAUCAUGAUAUUGUUCUAAGUCUAAUGUAAUCCAGAAGUAGUUUCAAGAAGAGUGUUGUUAUAGUAAUGAGUAUUACCAUUUACCUCGCCAUGGUAAAUAAUGAAAAUCCAAAAUGGAAACCAAGUUAGAAGUGACAUAUUGGAUGGAAACCUGGAACAACAUAAUUGAGUUUUUAUUGAGUACGCUCAAUAAAUUUCUUUAAUCGGUUAACAUGAA